rnacentral:rRNA from 1 species
AACGAACGCUGGCGGCAGGCUUAACACAUGCAAGUCGAACGCAUCCUUCGGGGUGAGUGGCAGACGGGUGAGUAACGCGUGGGAACGUGCCCUUCAGUUCGGGAUAACCCAGGGAAACUUGGGCUAAUACCGGAUACGUGCGAGAGCAGAAAGAUUUAUCGCUGAAGGAUCGGCCCGCGUCUGAUUAGCUAGUUGGGGGGGUAAUGGCCAACCAAGGCGACGAUCAGUAGCUGGUAUGAGAGGAUGAUCAGCCACAUUGGGACUGAGACACGGCCCAAACUCCUACGGGAGGCAGCAGUGGGGAAUAUGGGACAAUGGGCGCAAGCCUGAUCCAGCCAUGCCGCGUGAGUGAUGAAGGCCUUAGGGUUGUAAAGCUCUUUCGUCCGGGACGAUAAUGACGGUACCGGAAGAAGAAGCCCCGGCUAACUUCGUGCCAGCAGCCGCGGUAA